rnacentral:rRNA from 1 species
GACGAACGCUGGCGGCGUGCUUAACGCAUGCAAGUCGAACGGAAAGGCUCCAGCUUGCUGGAGUACUCGAGUGGCGAACGGGUGAGUAACACGUGGGUAAUCUGCCCUGCAGUCUGGGAUAAGCCUGGGAAACUGGGUCUAAUACUGGAUAUGACCUUUCUCCUUAUGGGGUUUGGUGGAAAGUUUUUCGGUGUAGGAUGAGCCCGCGGCCUAUCAGCUUGUUGGUGGGGUGAUGGCCUACCAAGGCGACGACGGGUAGCCGGCCUGAGAGGGUGAUCGGCCACAUUGGGACUGAGAUACGGCCCAGACUCCUACGGGAGGCAGCAGUGGGGAAUAUUGCACAAUGGGCGGAAGCCUGAUGCAGCGACGCCGCGUGAGGGAUGCCGGCCUUCGGGUUGUAAACCUCUUUCAGCAGGGACGAAGCGUAAGUGACGGUACCUGCAGAAGAAGCACCGGCUAACUAUGUG